AUUGAACGCUGGCGGCAUGCCUUACACAUGCAAGUCGAACGGCAGCGGGCCUUCGGGUGCCGGCGAGUGGCGAACGGGUGAGUAAUGCAUCGGAACGUGCCAUUGAGUGGGGGAUAACGUAGCGAAAGUUACGCUAAUACCGCAUAUUCUGUGAGCAGGAAAGCAGGGGACCGCAAGGCCUUGCGCUCUUUGAGCGGCCGAUGUCAGAUUAGCUAGUUGGUGAGGUAAAGGCUUACCAAGGCGACGAUCUGUAGCGGGUCUGAGAGGAUGAUCCGCCACACUGGAACUGAGACACGGUCCAGACUCCUACGGGAGGCAGCAGUGGGGAAUUUUGGACAAUGGGCGCAAGCCUGGUCCAGCCAUGCCGCGUGAGUGAAGAA
rnacentral:rRNA from 1 species